GACGAACGCUGGCGGCGUGCCUAACACAUGCAAGUCGAACGGGGUAAUUUCUUCGGAGAUUACUUAGUGGCGAACGGGUGAGUAACGCGUGAGAAACCUGCCUUUCAGUGGGGGACAACAGUUGGAAACGACUGCUAAUACCGCAUAAUGUUAUUUGGGGGCAUCCUUGAAUAACCAAAGCUUUAUUGCAAAAGGAUGGGCUCGCGUCUGAUUAGCUAGUUGGUGAGGUAACGGCUCACCAAGGCGACGAUCAGUAGCCGGUCUGAGAGGAUGAACGGCCACAUUGGGACUGAGAUACGGCCCAGACUCCUACGGGAGGCAGCAGUGGGGAAUAUUGGGCAAUGGGGGAAACCCUGACCCAGCAACGCCGCGUGAAGGAAGAAGGCCUUCGGGUUGUAAACUUCUUUUAGUAGGGACGAAGAAAGUAGACGGUACCUACAGAAAAAGACAACGGCUAACUACGUG
rnacentral:rRNA from 1 species